GUGUGUACUUGUAUUCAUUGUCUCAGUGUUUCUCAGUUAGUGCUGGAGGUUCUCAGGUGCUCUGGGUGACAGGUGCGGCCUAUCUGCUGAUUGCAUGGAGGAGGACUUAAGCGGGAGGCUACCAGCACUUCGAUGCUAGAGUGUUUGUCUUAGUGGUUUCUGACCUAAGGCUUUGUUUACCUUGCUGAGGCUCAACUACGCUCCAGACGUUUCUGGGGAAUUAAGAUUAUCGCCUACUGGAAAUUGGAUCUUCGUUUUUGUGGACUUCGUUCCCAACCACCUGUACUUCUCAGACAUGGACCAAGCUGGCGGCUUCCCGCUUCCUCCUCCUUCAUGACCAAGGCAUAAGCAUACUCUGUUCCACCCUCCAACACCAAUACCCGCACCCGAGCUAUCUCUGCUUUUCACCAAGUUCUCUCAGACAGCACCAGAGAGAACAGCUGAGCAACUUGUACCUUGCAAGCAAAGACCCUGAAUCCCUCUACCCCUGGUGGUUCAAGCAGCAAAAAUUUAGCAAAAUAAUCUUUGAGCGGAGCAAACAGGUGCCUGAUGACAGGGACACUCCAGGACCGGCCCAGGAGUCUCUGCCUGGCACCACGACCCAUGUUGGACACGUCGGUGUAGUGCACAGGGAAUCCAAAAAUCCUGGUCAGAAAAAAAGGGAAACAAUAUAAUAAAAAAAGGAAGUUUCAGUGGAUUGGAAACAGCCUUUUCUGCACAGCUGCAGCUUUUCUUUAACCUGCAGCCUGCUCACCUCUCCAGCUCCGUGCACCACAGGACGUCCUCCUUCCCGUUCAUCAAGACAGGGAAGUGCUGAUCUUUUCCCUGUUUGAUAGAGUUGGAUCGAGUAGUGAUGGUUCGCACCUUUCCAAACUAAGAGACAACAUGCACUGUCAAGCAUUAACUACUUUGCAUGAAAGAACUGCAGGUAAAAAAAUAUUCCUUAGGGACCUUGAUUGGCAGAGAACUGACCUUUGCAACCCGUCCAUGGUCCAGACAGUCCUGCAGCUCCAGCUUGUCCAUCCCAGAGGCACAGAGAGGCCUAAACAGGGAGUUCCAUGACAAUGAAUCUGCACAUUGCAUCACUGCAUGUAAGUCACAUCAAACCAACAACAGAAGGUGUUUCCUUGCCUACCUGUUCAUGCCCGGCAGGUUCCCCCAGAAGUAUCGGGCUCUAUGGGCAGCAGAGACCUCGAUAGCAUCGAUCAUCACAGGGUUACACUGUGUAAAACACACAGGGGUCAGGCAGAAUAUAUUUAUCUAUUUCAUAAAAUGUUAAAUGUUCCUGUCAUCACAGAAAUCUCAGGAUCUGUUUUGAGUUGAAAACCCACUCAGCCCAGUUUGGAACUCUGGGCUUUACUGCGUAACAACCAGGAAGUUAAAAGGAUUUAUUUCUAUAUUUAUAUCAUUAUAUAUCAUGAAACACAUAAAAAUUAAGGCAGAAGACAUAAUCAUGCAUAAUCACAGUUAAUAGUAAAGGGGGGUUAAAAGAUGCUUGGCUCAUUCUCGUUGGCAUGCAGCAACCAGCCACUGGGAUUUCUGCCUAAUAUUUAUUGAUAACUGCUGCAGAUACUUUAAAUUUGAUUGUCACUGCUUGUAAAUAGAAAUCUUUUAAUUAUCCUAAAGAUUCUCAAUUGUAUUGCAGUCUGGGCUUUGACUGGGCCAUUCCAGGAUGUUUACCAGUUACUCCUCAAACCAUUAUCCCAGCCUAAAUAAAAAGAUCCUUCACUGAAGAACUUCUCUA